UACGUAGGGUGCGAGCAUUGUCCGGAAUUAUUGGGCGUAAAGAGCUCGUAGGCGGUUUGUUGCGUCUAUCGUGAAAACCUGCAGCUUAACUGUGGGCUUGCGGUGGAUACGGGCAGACUUGAGUUCGGUAGGGGAGACUGGAAUUCCUGGUGUAGCGGUGAAAUGCGUAGAUAUCAGGAAGAACACCCGUGGCGAAGGCGGCUCUCUGGGACGGUACUGACGCUGAGACGCGAAAGCGUGGGGAGCGAACAGG
rnacentral:rRNA from 1 species